GUUGACCUCGGAUCAGGUAGGGAUACCCGCUGAACUUAAGCAUAUCAAUAAGCGGAGGAAAAGAAACCAACAGGGAUUGCCUCAGUAACGGCGAGUGAAGCGGCAACAGCUCAAAUUUGAAAUCUGGCCCUUUCAGGGUCCGAGUUGUAAUUUGUAGAGGAUGUUUCGGCGAGUGCUCCCGUCUAAGUUCCUUGGAACAGGACGUCAUAGAGGGUGAGAAUCCCGUAUGUGAUGGGUUGCGCGAGCCAUGUGAAACUCCUUCGACGAGUCGAGUUGUUUGGGAAUGCAGCUCUAAAUGGGAGGUAAAUUUCUUCUAAAGCUAAAUACCGGCCAGAGACCGAUAGCGCACAAGUAGAGUGAUCGAAAGAUGAAAAGCACUUUGGAAAGAGAGUUAAAAAGUACGUGAAAUUGUUGAAAGGGAAGCGCUUGCAACCAGACUUGCCCGCAGUUGCUCAACCCGCCUCCUGGCGGGUGUACUCUUCUGCGGUCAGGCCAGCAUCAGUUCGGGCGGCCGGAUAAAGGCGUCGGGAAUGUAGCUCCUCUCGGGGAGUGUUAUAGCCCGGCGCGACAUGCGGCCAGCCUGGACUGAGGAUCUCGCUUCGGCUAGGAUGCUGGCGUAAUGGUUGUAAGCGGCCCGUCUUGAAACACGGACCAAGGAGUCUAACAUCUAUGCGAGUGUUUGGGUGUCAAACCCAUGCGCGUAAUGAAAGUGAACGGAGGUGGGAACGCGCAAGCGUGCACCAUCGACCGAUCCUGAUGUCUUCGGAUGGAUUUGAGUAAGAGCAUAGCUGUUGGGACCCGAAAGAUGGUGAACUAUGCCUGAAUAGGGUGAAGUCAGAGGAAACUCUGAUGGAGGCUCGCAGCGGUUCUGACGUGCAAAUCGAUCGUCAAAUUUGGGUAUAGGGGCGAAAGACUAAUCGAACCAUCUAGUAGCUGGUUCCUGCCGA
rnacentral:rRNA from 1 species